CAGGAUUAACGCUGGCGGCGUGCCUAAUACAUGCAAGUCGAAUGGUAGUAGCAAUACAAACCAUGGCGAACGGGUGAGUAACACGUAGGCAACCUGACUUUAAGACGAGGAUAACCGUUGGAAACGACGGAUAAUACUGGAUAGGACAUCACAAAGGGCAUCCUUAGAUGUUAAAGGUAUCAUGCCACUUAGAGAGGGGCCUGCGGCGCAUUAGCUAGUUGGUGAGAUAACAGCCCACCAAGGCGAUGAUGCGUAGCCGGACUGAGAGGUUGAACGGCCACAAUGGAACUGAGAACGGUCCAUACUCCUACGGGAGGCAGCAGUAGGGAAUUUUCGGCAAUGGGCGCAAGCCUGACCGAGCAACGCCGCGUGAACGAAGAAGUUAUUCGUAAUGUAAAGUUCUUUUAUCUGGGAAGAAAAAACAAAUUGACGGUACCAGAUGAAUAAGCUCCGGCUAACUACGUGCCAGCCGCGGC
rnacentral:rRNA from 1 species